GCACCCCCGGCUCGGGUCACCCUGAGCGCUCACACCGGGAUAGUGUCAGCCCUCAGAGCAGGGCCCGGCGGGGUGAGGGGCUCUCCAUGGCCCUCAGCAUCGCUCCUCAAAUCACCCAAGCUGUGCAGCAAUGCCAAUGGAGCUGCUCCUCUGCAGUGCCCGGCGUUUCGCUCCCCAGCUGCCCAGCGAGCUGUCCCUCCAAAGCUUAAAAGCUUUGGAGGAUCUCUGGAUUUGCCAGCAGUUUCAAGAGAUACCAUGGAAAACUUAAAACGGUGCAAUUGCAGAAGCCUCCUUUCCUUAGAAAAUGAGGGUAAUGAUCCGUAUCCCAAAUAAUUAAUUGAAUAAAUUAGCAAAUUGCUUAGAGCAUAUGGCAGACCCCAUGGAUAAGUGGUACAGCAUCUCCAACGCGUGCUUCGACCAUGAGAGCAGAGCACAAAGACUGUGGGCAAGUUUGUGUGUAACAUUCUGUUGGUAACACAGGGUAUAACUACAGUCCUUAAUUAACCAGCAUUGCAUGCUUACUGAAAAAAAAAGUCACAUAGCCAAAGUGAAAAUAUAAGGAAAAUUACACCUGUGCAACUGCACUUACCCUGCAAUUCUUAUGCUUCCAACCAGUGUCCUGACUUGAGACGUGGUGAGCAUGUUCAUCCCUUUGUGUUGCUCUCCUACUGUUGGCCAUUACCUAAGUGCUACCUAUGAGGAACAAAGUUUCAAAAAUUCAGGGACUGGGGUCAUUUAAUAAGUUACAAACCUGAGAUGCCCUUCCCUUUCAUUUUCAUUGGGUAACACUUGCAAACUCUAAGAAAACUCAGUUCAAAACGGGUGUGCAGAAAGUACACGUGGUUUUGGUCAUGUGUGAUACUCCUUUGUCUUUGGAACUGGAACGUCAAAAAUGAGCUCAGCCCCCAUCCACAGCAGCCUUUGGUUUUGCUAACAAUGGGAAUUUUAGAAAUGCUAAAAUCAGCCAGCAAUAAUUGUAUCUAUGCUGACUGUUAAGUGAGAAAAUGAAAGGGAGAAAUGUGUUAUCUCCAUCCAGCUUGAACUUGUGGCCUCUGGCAUGGAGAGGCUGUUCCUCCAGAGGACAGAGAAUACCCAGUUAAUUACACAUGUCCCACUGGGUGGGUGACAGGGUCCAGAGAUCAGGCAGGGUAGUAAAACGUGUCCCACCUACUUGAUGCUGUGUUCCUUUGGGUGUCAGAGACAGCCAAGGCACCCUGUAUGGGUCAGGGAAUGAUGAAAAAUACUCCUACUCCACAAACUGCGAUAGGAAAACACAGAAUAGAUAAACGAGGGACCCUGUGAAAUUCCUUGAGGAUGACAAACACCCUCAAACUUCACCUCAGCUGUUACAAGAGACACUAUUGAUAAUCUGUGGGAAGACUGAUACAACCCUGCGAAAAACCUGACUAUACCCUGAGAAGUGAUUUGGCAGAUGAGAGCUGUGAAGAGCCUGUCUAGUGCUGCCUCUAUGUGUCCCUCUCCUUGCACACACACUGAAACUAAGAUAAGAGCUGGAAUCUGGGCAUCAGCACCAAUUGAAACCAACCUUCCUCAGAAUCCUUCCAAAGGCUGUGUGACUCACCCAGAGCCAGACAGCAGAAGUUGUUAUAUUGUGAGUAGAUUGCUACUCCAAAGAAUAGGCAAUUAAAAGGACAAUAUUUCCCAUGUGCCACCCUGGCCCUUCCUUAGGUCAUGCUUGCAGUAGUGAAAUUAAAGAUUUAAAGUGUCCUCUUUGAAUCAAAGGGGAAGUGUUAUGAAUUUGCUCCUUGAGCUAACAGGGCUGUCUAAACCACAUUUACUAUCAGCCUUUAAGUAAUUUUUGAUGGACCAAGAAAGAUGCCUCAGGUGAGCAGGGAAGAUCUUCAAAUAACUCCCAAAAAGGCAAAUACAAUAAACAGAACACACUGUGGUUGGUUAUGUCUUGAUUAUUUCCAUGUCCUGUAGCCUCACCAUGCCUGUUUCAAGGGCAGAGCACUUCGCACCACACUUCCUUUUCCUGAACACGGGAUAGACAAAAGAAUAGGCCAGAAGACAGUGAGACUGUAGCCAAAGAAGACACCUGGCAGCAGCUCAGUGAAAAUUAUGUAUCCUAAACAUUAACUAUGCCUGACUUCCUGCUGUCACAGCUGGAAAAACACUCCCCAUACCUGCACACCUGCAACUACUGUCGGCUUCAGGACUGGUUACAGACACCAGGCUCAGACUAGGAAGUUCCUCAAAGCAUUUCUUCCUAUUUCCUGGACAAAUUACUGCUAAUGUAAUUUAGUAACUGUGUAUCCCAGGCCUGCUCCAGGAUAUGUUAAAGCAGUAGCAGAACUGACAAGCAAUGGCUCUGUCAGCUGAAACAAAAGGCAGGAGAUCACAGUGAAAUCUAUCAAACUCAGGUGCAGGGCAAAUAAUGAACCACUAUUAAUGAGCACACAUGGCUGUGUUCUCAUCAGCCACAUCUCUGUCGAGUUCUUUGCAGUUUCUGGAAAAAGGUGUGCUUGAAGGAAGUAUUUAAAAUAGAAAAAUUAAUUUGCUUUGGGAAUGGAAGACUGCCCCAAACACAAGAGAACCAAAUAUAGUGGGAGGUGGUGUGUCUGGAAAAGAAUGCAUGUGCAACAGAGGGUGGCAUCAAGAACUUACUGGAGACAUACCACUCUGGUGCUACUGAGAGGAUGGAUCAUAGAAUCAGAGAGUCAUUCAGGCUGGAAAAGACCUUUAAAAUCCCAGAGUCCAUCCCUAAAGCAUGUCCCUUAAUGCCACGUCUACACAUCCACUAAAUACAUGCAAGGAUGGUGACUGAACCACUCCCCUGUCCCAGUGCUUGACAACCCAACCCCAGCAAAGAAAUUUUUUCUAAUAUCCAAUCUGAACAACUUCUGGAGCAACUUGAGGCCAUUUCCUUGUCCUAUCACUUGUUAGUUGAAAGAAGAGGCCAACCCCCACCCAGCUACAGCCUCCUGUCAGAUAGCUGUAGACAACAAUAAGGUCACUCCUGAGCCUCCUUUUCUCCAGGCUCUGGUCUCUGUAUAACCAAAACUUGAAGAUAUAACACCUAAAUUAAUCACCCAGGGUAAGCAGGCUAAAUACAGCCUUUGGUAGAUGGCCCAUACUUAUGUUUUUUCUGUUGGGUGUAUCCUUCCCUACACUGUGCCAGCAGAAAGAACUUGGAUUACUUAUUUCUCUUUCUGCACCUGAGCAAGACUGUAGCAAUUUUCUGCCACAUAAACCCGUGUAGCAUUAAACUUACAGGUCUAUAUAGACAAAAAUGUAUCAAUUGCUUUACCAGAAUGAAUAAAGAAAUGGUUAAAAUAGAAAACUCAUGGAGCUUGAAUGAUCAAUUUCUUCAGAAAUAUGAGUCCAAGACAAAUUACACUCUUCAGGGUUUAAAAUAGCUUUCUUCUAGGUCUGCAGGGUUUUAGUCAAGACUCAGCUAUCCUCAGAUUUGCUGUGAAUACAGUAUGAGAAGAAUGUGGAAAGGAAAACAAAGAUGUACAAGCAUCAAAACUUAUGGGAGGGAUGGUGGGGGAAGGGAGAAGUGGCAGCUAUGUGAUAAUAUACAAUGAGGGUUUAGAGUCUUGAUUUGCAGUGACUGCACUUUAUGCCUGUCACUGGCAAAUUGACAUUUUAAAGAUAUGUUCUUGACUGCUUUUUCAUGUCAGUAUCUUUGUUCAGGCUAUAUCUAGGUUGAUGAAAGGAAUUUCAAUUAAGGAUGAAAUCUUUUCCAUACUGUAUUGAAAUGCACAGGGUGGGAGCAGAGGGAGAAUGGAGCAAUGAAAGCUCUGUAGAGAGUUCUUUAAGGCAUCUUGCUGACACAGGACAAGAUAGUUUAGGAAUGCCUGGGGCAGUGCACUCUGCAGUGGUUUACUGAGCCUUUACAAAGAAACAGUGUGCAUUCACCUUAGUGCCUACUGCCUGAGGCCAUAUAUCAUUCAAACCGGGGACUAAGGGUUUAAUAAAUCCCAAUCUAGUUUAGUCCUCAAGGGAAUAGCAGUCUGGAGUCAUUCAGGAGUGGCAGGGAAGGUGGCCACAUAAUGUGGCAGGAAAAGGCUGAUUUUCACCCUGUGUAUGUAAGCAGUAUCCUGGGAAAUGAAAGGAGUUAUAAAUCUGCAUAGUGAAAGCCUUAGGGAAAAGAAGUGUGAAAAACAGUAAGACAUGGAUAUGAAGACAGCUCAUGAGACACAGAGAAAAAAAAAAAAAAUAAAGAGAGAAAGACAAUAGGAAAGUGAGUGCUGUGGGGAAAAAAGGAAUAUUAAUUGCACAAAACCACAUCAAACCCACUUUAUUCACCUACCUUGCAAUUGCUUAAUAUUUGGGGUGAAAUACAAACUAGCUCCCACUGAGCACUUUCACGGAGAUGUAUUUCGCUUUACAUGUUUGUCCUUGUCCACCAUUUUUCCAGCCUAUGUCAUGGUGAGAAUUUUUAGUUGCUGAUAUAUCCAGAAUGCUCACCCAGCCCUUGCAGCUGGGCUCCAGCUGUCGUGGUGCCCUUCAGAGUGCAGCUGAUGCACACUCCACUCCCACCCGUGCAUUCAGAGUGGGUAACAAGUGCAUUCCAAAGGCUCCUUAGGACCUCUGUGUGUACCUGUCAGUGGUGCCUUCAUUCAGGUCUGAGUCUGGGCAUUGAGGCGUUACUGCUCAACUAAAUCUAGACAGAGGCAGAGCUCUGUGUCACUGUGGCCAGACCCAUAAUCAAGCUAUCAAUUAAAAGUCAAUUUGUGUAUGUCUACAGCAUUACAGAGUCAUUAAUGUGACUGAGGCAUAGACAUACAUUUAAUUCACUACAAUAAUUCAGCUAUUAAGAUGAUCUGAUUUAUCAGCAAGAGCCAGAAUGGCUGUUCACAUGGUUUACCCAUGUCCAGUUAGUCAGGGCUGAGGCUGUCAUAUAUGAAAUCCUGAUCUGAGCAUUUGCAUACAACUGCCAAAUCCCAUGUAUGUUACAGGAACUGAAGUGGAAAACUGCCAAAUUCUCUGCAAUAAUGUGGGAGCUCUGAUGGUAUAUCACACUAUUCCCUGGAAAAAAAUUUAAAACUAGACCAACUUGUUUUUAUGUUUCCUCACUUUCCAAAAAUCAUCAGAAAACAUAUGCUUCAUUUCAUCAUAAACCUCCAAGGCAUUUUCAAGAUUAUUGCAGUUCCUUCUACUGUUUCCUUCUUCAAUUUCUGAGUCAUUCUUCUUCUUCAUCUCUCUGAAGCUGACCCACAACUCCUCUCAAAUGCCGCAGGCUGGAUAUGGUACUCAACUGUGGUCUUACUCAUGCAGGUAAUAAAGGAUUCCACAAAUGCCAUAAGAGAUGAUGCCUUACAACCCUCCAGAGCUGUGACCAGGCUGACAGAUCUUUGUGCACUGCUUAUCAAGACAUGGCUCUUCCUUCCCACAGCUCUCAGCCUCAUUCACAUCAGCAAGGCUUUCAGAGACUGCAUUGAUGACAGAGCUGCAUCCUUGUGUGGGCUCUGAUUUCUGCAGUGAAGGAACUAUCAUGAGGUGGUCCAACACUGGCUCAUUGCUCUGUGUAUCUGCUGGUCCAACAAUCUCUUUUUAGUCUGACCAUGCUUGGCUGGCAGGACAAGUAUUGCAGAGCUGGAAAGCAGAGGAGGAAGGUCUGACAAGUUCAGGAAGACAGGAGGACUUGCCUUGUGAAACGCAGCGUUUUCCCCUUCCUGCACAUUGGUCACUCAGGGAGAACAGAGGGAGAAAACCUUUUGUCUGAGUCAUUCACACUAUACCAAGAAAAGCACUUGGAACUGUUCUCCAGGGAGUAGCAUUACACUAGGAUAUCGGAGUACUUGGGUGAAGUCAGGUUCUUUCAUUUUACAGCAAAUAUCACGACCUGAACACUGUUGUUCAUUUCCAGGCACUUUGGUGAUUCAGCCAGGGAGGUGUCUGUGUUCACAAAUUGCAAUAACGUCUAUAUUUCAAAAGGGAAAUGGAUACAAUGCAUUGCUUUAGUUCCACUGAAAUGAGAUUUUUUGUUUCCUUACAGAAAUUGGAUGAAUUUUAGCUCUGAUUAAGUACUUAAUCUGGUGCUUAGCUUGAAACAGUUCAGUUUCCAUUGACAUGAAUAAAAUUGUCCACAUCCAGCUAAGUAACUUUCCUGUUUUCUAGACUGUGUUCUUUUAGAAUUGAACAUUAGCUUAGUAAAUACUAGUCUAAGCAUAACUGUUGUCUGAUCUAAAAAGAAAGGGUGUUUAAAAGGUAGAUCCUUAGACUUCUGUAAUUUUUGUUUUUUUUAAGAGAAAGUUUUCUGCCUCCCACUUUGGGCCAAAAUGCAAUUUUUUGAGGUAUGGAAUUCCACUCUCACGGUUCAAAUUUCAACAGUGAUGGCAACAUUUGCAGUUUUGUUUGCAGUAAUUUCUAACAGAAGGAUUACUUCUCCCUCUUGGAUACAUUUAUUUCUUGUAGCACUUGAUGCAGUGCA